rfam:Listeria monocytogenes EGD-e, complete genome
AUAUCCCAAAGUUUAAGCCACCUAUAGUUUCUACUGCAAAACGUAUAAUUUAGUUCCCACAUAUACUAAAAAACGUGUCCUUAACUCUCUCUGUCAGAUUAGUUGUAGGUGGCUUAAACUU